GAUGAAGAACGUAGCGAAAUGCGAUAAGUAAUGCGAAUUGCAGAAUUCAGUGAACCAUCGAAUCUUUGAACGCACAUUGCGCCCGGCAGUAAUCUGCCGGGCAUGCCUGUCCGAGCGUCAUUUCUCCCCUCGAGCGCAGCUUUCCCCCCCGGGGGAGGGCCGCGCCCGGUGUUGGGGCGCUACGGAGGAGCCCAGCGCUCCCCCGUAGGCCCCGAAAUGUAGUGGCGGUCCCGCCGCGGCGCCCCCUGCGUAGUAGUUUUACAACUCGCAUCGGGUCCCGGCGGAGGCCAGCCGUCAAACCCCCCAACUUCAAUAGUUUGACCUCGGAUCAGGUAGGGUUACCCGCUGAACUUAAGCAUAUCAAUAAGCGGAGGA
rnacentral:misc_RNA from 1 species